rnacentral:rRNA from 1 species
AUGGCUCAGAUUGAACGCUGGCGGCAGGCCUAACACAUGCAAGUCGAGCGGAUGACGGGAGCUUGCUCCUUG